rnacentral:rRNA from 1 species
AUAUCUAUUGUCUUAUUACAAGACAAUUAGCAGCGGAGAAUAUCCCGGGCUACCGGGCUGAUGGGGUCGGGCCACUUGGGGUGAAGGGUGGGAGCUAGGGGUGAGGGUGUAGGGUGCCGGCGGUGCCGGGAGCGGCGGCCGCGCACAGGGUGGUGGUGGUAGAGGGUGCCCGCGGUUCAAGGGACGACGUCCGCGCGCGCGGUGGCGGUGGGGGAGGGUGUCCUCGUUACCAAGGACGGCGGCCGCGUGCGCGGUGGCGGUGGCGGUGGUGGAGGGCGUCCGCGGUACCAGGGACGGCGGCCGCGCCGCGGUGGCAGUGGUGGAGGGUGUCGGCAGCGCCUGGGGCGGCGGCCACGCGCGGGGCGGUAGAGGUGGAGGGUGUCGGAGGUACCGGGGCAGCAGCCCCGCGCGGGGCGGUGUUGGUGGCGGCAACCUGCGGCAGCGGCACGGGGUCACGGAGGCUCUGGAGCAGGCUGUACUGGCAACGUAGGGACUUGACGGUUCGCGGCGGGUGGCGGGCCGAAGAAGGGGACUGGUAGCGGCCGGAGGACGGGGCCCGUUUGGGGAAGAGAAGGAAGGCCCGCGUUGGCGCUAGAGGAAGAGUCAAGUUUUGCUCGAGAUCGGCUACAGGUUCAGCUAAGGGUAAGCACCCUGUUCAGGCUGAUGGACACCAUGUGCUGGAUCUCUAACUGGCCUCGCUCGUUAAGGAGUUCAGGCCGGUCACCGACGUCGAGUGGUAGUUGAGGCGGCCGGUGAGCGACAUCCACAAGCAGUUGCCGGUUAGGAAGCCUUAACUCCGAAGCGGUUCCUUGUUCUGACCAUUGAUCGCGUUUCCUCUGAUACAGCUCUCCACCGUGACGAUCUGAACGACUACACAUCAAUACCGUAUUUUUCCUACUUUUUUUACCACAGAACAUACUAAGGUAUUCUACAUGCAUCGUUUAGAAGGGUACACCUAGUCAUGUUGAAUACAUGCCGGAACUCAAGUGUUUAGAAUAUCAUUAGAAACAUCAUGAGAAGCAUUGUGAAACAUUUCGUUCUCAUCGGGAAAAAACACUCGUUGUUAAGUUUCCUUAGACAACAUAGUCAAGAAUACUAUCUAUCUUCUUUCAAGUG